AGUGAACGCUGGCGGUAGGCCUAACACAUGCAAGUCGAACGGCAGCACAGUAAGAGCUUGCUCUUACGGGUGGCGAGUGGCGGACGGGUGAGGAAUACAUCGGAAUCUACUUUUUCGUGGGGGAUAACGUAGGGAAACUUACGCUAAUACCGCAUACGACCUACGGGUGAAAGCAGGGGAUCUUCGGACCUUGCGCGAUUGAAUGAGCCGAUGUCGGAUUAGCUAGUUGGCGGGGUAAAGGCCCACCAAGGCGACGAUCCGUAGCUGGUCUGAGAGGAUGAUCAGCAACACUGGAACUGAGACACGGUCCAGACUCCUACGGGAGGCAGCAGUGGGGAAUAUUGGACAAUGGGCGCAGGCCUGAUCCAGCCAUACCGCGUGGGUGAAGAAGGCCUUCGGGUUGUAAAGCCCUUUUGUUGGGAAAGAAAAGCAGCAGGUUAAUACCCCGCUGUUCUGACGGUACCCAAAGAAUAAGCACCGGCUAACUUCGUG
rnacentral:rRNA from 1 species